ACUGCCCUACGGGACGCAGCAGUAGGGAAUUUUCGUCAAUGGGCGCAAGCCUGAACGAGCGAUGCCGCGUGAGUGAAGAAGGCCUUCGGGUCGUAAAGCUCUGUUGCGGGGGAAAAAAGGCAGCAUCAGGAAAUGGGUGCUGACUGAUGGUGCCCCGCCAGAAAGUCACGGCUAACUAGGUGCCAGCAGCCGCGGGAAUACGUAGGUGGCGAGCGUUAUCCGGAAUGAUUGGGCGU
rnacentral:rRNA from 1 species